rnacentral:rRNA from 1 species
UUAAAGGAAUUGACGGGGAGCACCACAACGGGUGGAGCUUGCGGUUUAAUUGGAUUCAACGCCGGAAAUCUUACCGGGACCGACAGCAAUAUGAAGGCCAGGCUGAUGACCUUGCCUGAUUUUCCGAGAGGUGGUGCAUGGCCGUCGUCAGUUCGUACCGUAAGGCGUUCUCUUAAGUGAGAUAACGAACGAGACCCUCACCGCUAAUUGCUAGUGUUCUCUCCGGAGGGCACGCACAUUAACGGGACCGCUGUCGCUAAGACAGAGGAAGGAGAGGUCAACGGUAGGUCCGUAUGCCCCGAAUCUCCUGGGCUACACGCGCGCUACAAAGGUUGGGACAAUGGGCUCCGACAUCGAAAGGUGAAGGCAAUCUCGAAACCCAAUCGUAGUUCGGAUUGAGGGUUGUAACUCACCCUCAUGAAGCUGGAUUCCGUAGUAAUCGCUUGUCAACAUCAAGCGGUGAAUAUGCCCCUGCUCCUU